rnacentral:rRNA from 1 species
CAGUAGCCGCGGUAAAACGUAGGUCCCGAGCGUUGUCCGGAUUUAUUGGGCGUAAAGCGAGCGCAGGCGGUUAGAUAAGUCUGAAGUUAAAGGCUGUGGCUUAACCAUAGUACGCUUUGGAAACUGUUUAACUUGAGUGCAAGAGGGGAGAGUGGAAUUCCAUGUGUAGCGGUGAAAUGCGUAGAUAUAUGGAGGAACACCGGUGGCGAAAGCGGCUCUCUGGCUUGUAACUGACGCUGAGGCUCGAAAGCGUGGGGAGCAAACAGGAUUAGAGACCCCGGUAGUCCCUGUCCUUAUACAC